UGGGUAGCAACUGGCCAAGGGGGAUUAGA
rnacentral:piRNA from 1 species